rnacentral:rRNA from 1 species
GUGCCAGCAGCCGCGGUAAUACGUAGGGCGCAAGCGUUAUCCGGAAUUAUUGGGCGUAAAGAGCUCGUAGGCGGUUUGUCGCGUCUGCCGUGAAAGUCCGGGGCUUAACUCCGGAUCUGCGGUGGGUACGGGCAGACUUGAGUGAUGUAGGGGAGACUGGAAUUCCUGGUGUAGCGGUGAAAUGCGCAGAUAUCAGGAGGAACACCGAUGGCGAAGGCAGGUCUCUGGGCAUUAACUGACGCUGAGGAGCGAAAGCAUGGGGAGCGAACAGGAUUAGAUACCCCUGGUAGUCC